rnacentral:rRNA from 1 species
GACGAACGCUGGCGGCGUGCCUAAUACAUGCAAGUAGAACGCUGAAGGAGGAGCUUGCUCUUCUGGAUGAGUUGCGAACGGGUGAGUAACGCGUAGGUAACCUGCCUGGUAGCGGGGGAUAACUAUUGGAAACGAUAGCUAAUACCGCAUAAGAGUAGAUGUUGCAUGACAUUUGCUUAAAAGGUGCAAUUGCAUCACUACCAGAUGGACCUGCGUUGUAUUAGCUAGUUGGUGGGGUAACGGCUCACCAAGGCGACGAUACAUAGCCGACCUGGGAGGGUGAUCGGCCACACUGGGACUGAGACACGGCCCAGACUCCUACGGGAGGCAGCAGUAGGGAAGCUUCGGCAAUGGACGGAAGUCUGACCGAGCAACGCCGCGUGAGUGAAGAAGGUUUUCGGAUCGUAAAGCUCUGUUGUAAGAGAAGAACGAGUGUGAGAGUGGAAAGUUCACACUGUGACGGUAUCUUACCAGAAAGGGACGGCUAACUACGUG